AUUGAACGCUGGCGGCAGGCCUAACACAUGCAAGUCGAACGAGUGGCGGACGGGUGAGUAAUGUCUGGGAGACUGCCUGAUGGAGGGGGAUAAAUACUGGAAACGGUAGCUAAUACCGCAUACCAUCAGAUGUGCCCAGAUGGGAUUAGCUUGUAGGUGAGGUAACGGUGCACUUAGGCGAUGAUCCCUAGCUGGUCUGAGAGGAUGACCAGCCACACUGGAACGGAGACACGGUCCAGACUCCUACGGGAGGCAGCAGUGGGGAAUAUUGCACAAUGGGCGAAAGCCUGAUGCAGCCAUGCCGCGUGUAUGAAGAAGGCCUUCGGGUGGUAAAGUACUUUCAUCGGGGAGGCGUUACCCGCAGAAGAAGCACCGGCUAACUCCGUGCCAGCCGCCGCGGUAAUUC
rnacentral:rRNA from 1 species